rnacentral:rRNA from 1 species
AUGAACGCUGGCGGCGUGCCUAAUACAUGCAAGUCGAGCGAACAGACGAGGAGCUUGCUCCUCUGACGUUAGCGGCGGACGGGUGAGUAACACGUGGAUAACCUACCUAUAAGACUGGGAUAACUUCGGGAAACCGGAGCUAAUACCGGAUAAUAUAUUGAACCGCAUGGUUCAAUAGUGAAAGACGGUUUUGCUGUCACUUAUAGAUGGAUCCGCGCCGCAUUAGCUAGUUGGUAAGGUAACGGCUUACCAAGGCAACGAUGCGUAGCCGACCUGAGAGGGUGAUCGGCCACACUGGAACUGCGACACGGUCCAGACUCCUACGGGAGGCAGCAGUAGGGAAUCUUCCGCAAUGGGCGAAAGCUUGACGGAGCAACGCCGCGUGAGUGCUGAAGGUCUUCGGAUCGUAAAACUCUGUUAUUAGGGAAGAACAAAUGUGUAAGUAACUAUGCACGUCUUGACGGUCCCUAAUCAGAAGGCCACGGCUAACUACGUG